UGGGGAAUUUUGGACAAUGGGGGAAACCCUGAUCCAGCCAUCCCGCGUGUGCGAUGAAGGCCUUCGGGUUGUAAAGCACUUUUGGCAGGAAAGAAACGUCAUGGGUUAAUACCCCGUGAAACUGACGGUACCUGCAGAAUAAGCACCGGCUAACUACGUGCCAGCAGCCGCGGUAAUACGUAGGGUGCAAGCGUUAAUCGGAAUUACUGGGCGUAAAGCGUGCGCAGGCGGUUCGGAAAGAAAGAUGUGAAAUCCCAGAGCUCAACUUUGGAACUGCAUUUUUAACUACCGGGCUAGAGGGUGUGAGAGGGAGGUGGAAUUCCGCGUGUAGCAGUGAAAUGCGUAGAUAUGCGGAGGAACACCGAUGGCGAAGGCAGCCUCCUGGGAUAACACUGACGCUCAUGCACGAAAGCGUGGGGAGCAAACAGG
rnacentral:rRNA from 1 species